rnacentral:rRNA from 1 species
GAUGAACGCUGGCGGCGUGCCUAAUACAUGCAAGUCGAGCGAACAGACGAGGAGCUUGCUCCUCUGACGUUAGCGGCGGACGGGUGAGUAACACGUGGAUAACCUACCUAUAAGACUGGGAUAACUUCGGGAAACCGGAGCUAAUACCGGAUAAUAUAUUGAACCGCAUGGUUCAAUAGUGAAAGACGGUUUUGCUGUCACUUAUAGAUGGAUCCGCGCCGCAUUAGCUAGUUGGUAAGGUAACGGCUUACCAAGGCAACGAUGCGUAGCCGACCUGAGAGGGUGAUCGGCCACACCUGAACUGAGACACGGUCCAAGCUCCCACGGGAGGCAGCAGUAGGGAAUCUUCCGCAAUGGGCGAAAGCCUGACGGAGCAACGCCGCGGGAGUGAUGAAGGUCUUCGGAUCGUAAAACUCUGUUAUUAGGGAAGAACAAAUGUGUAAGUAACUAUGCACGUCUUGACGGUACCUAAUCAGAAAGCCACGGCUAACUACGUG